rnacentral:rRNA from 1 species
CGGGACGGGUGAGUAAUGCCUGGGAAAUUGCCCAGUCGAGGGGGAUAACAGUUGGAAACGACUGCUAAUACCGCAUACGCCCUACGGGGGAAAGCAGGGACCUUCGGGCCUUGCGCGAUUGGAUAUGCCCAGGUGGGAUUAGCUAGUUGGUGAGGUAAUGGCUCACCAAGGCGACGAUCCCUAGCUGGUCUGAGAGGAUGAUCAGCCACACUGGAACUGAGACACGGUCCAG